AUGACACGUGUCAUCAUCGUGGCGGGUGUAGAGGUUUCAGCAACUAUAAAUAGAGGCCAUCGGAUUUCAUUUGGAAUUCGCUCACGAACGUUUUCUUCUCUCAAAUCUGAAUAUUAGGCAUAAUACUCGGGUAUUAUACCCCCCUAAUUAGCGAAGCUCUGCCUCGUUAUUAUAACCAGGGAACCACAAAGGAAAGCCAUAUAAUAG
rnacentral:lncRNA from 1 species